CAGUGUCAAAGAGUGGGGCCGCCUUUGAGUGCAGUUAAAACGCUGGAUUGCAUAAAGGUAUCUGCUGUUUGGGAGCUUGUUGGAAUUGACCUCACAGGUCCACUUCCAAAAACAUCCUCUGGCUUUGAAUAUAUUUUAACGGCAACCGACUAUUUUUCCAAGUGGCUGGAGGCCUUCCCUCAAAAGACAAAGUCUGCAGUGGAAGUAGCGAAAAACCUCUGUCCGCUUAUUUAUAGACAUGGUUGUCCCCUGCGCAUACUAUCAGACCAAGGACGGGAGUUUGUAAAUCAAAUUAACAGCAAUCUCUGCAAACAGCUGUCCAUUGAGAGGAGUGUAACUGCUGCCUACCACCCCCAGACAAAUGGGCUUGAUGAGAAGGCCAAUGACAACAUCAAACGAGCACUAAAAAAGCUUGUGAAUCAGCAGCAGGACGACUGGGACCUAUACCUCAAUGCAACACUUUUUUCACUGCGAUCAAAAGUGCACACCACAACAAAAUUCUCACCAUUUUUGUUAAUGUACGGAAGAGAGGCUAGAUUUCCUUCUGAAGUGCCUGUUGAAAUGCCGGUAAGUUUUUGUCUGUCUGGCUAUUUGUCUAUCAAAAAAAAAAAAAAAAGC